CUGACCUUCGCUCAGUUGGUAUAGUGGUGGACUGUAGUUGGACUAAUCUAAAUUGGAAAUCCUUAAGUCGCUGGUUUGAUUCCGGCAGGUUGGA
rfam:Ipomoea nil DNA, scaffold: scaffold3056, cultivar: Tokyo-kokei standard.